UACGGAGGGAGCUAGCGUUGUUCGGAAUUACUGGGCGUAAAGCGCGCGUAGGCGGCUUUGUAAGUUAGAGGUGAAAGCCCGGGGCUCAACCCCGGAAUUGCCUUUAAGACUGCAUCGCUUGAAUCCGGGAGAGGUGAGUGGAAUUCCGAGUGUAGAGGUGAAAUUCGUAGAUAUUCGGAAGAACACCCGUGGCGAAGGCGGCUCUCUGGGACGGUACUGACGCUGAGACGCGAAAGCGUGGGGAGCGAACAGG
rnacentral:rRNA from 1 species